rnacentral:rRNA from 3 species
CAAACGACUCUCGGCAACGGAUAUCUUGGCUCACGCAUCGAUGAAGAACGCAGCAAAAUGCGAUACUUGGUGUGAAUUGCAGAAUCCCGUGAACCAUCGAGUUUUUGAACGCAAGUUGCGCCCAAAGCCUUUUGGCCGAGGGCACGUCUGCCUGGGCGUCACAU